GAAAUGCGAUAAGUAAUGUGAAUUGCAGAAUUCAGUGAAUCAUCGAAUCUUUGAACGCACAUUGCGCCCCUUGGUAUUCCGAGGGGCAUGCCUGUUCGAGCGUCAUUACACCACUCAAGCCUCGCUUGGUAUUGGGCACCGCGGUCCGCCGCGCGCCUCAAUGACCCCGGCUGGGUCAUCCGUCCCUCAGCGUUGUGCAAACAAAUCCGCUACAGGGCCUCGGGUGGCGCACGCCGUUAAACCUCACACAAGGUUGACCUCGGAUCAGGUAGGGAUACCCGCUGAACUUAA
rnacentral:misc_RNA from 1 species